GACGAACGCUGGCGGCGUGCUUAACACAUGCAAGUCGAACGGAAAGGCCCUGCUUUUGUGGGGUGCUCGAGUGGCGAACGGGUGAGUAACACGUGAGUAACCUGCCCUUGACUUUGGGAUAACUUCAGGAAACUGGGGCUAAUACCGGAUAGGAGCUCCUGCUGCAUGGUGGGGGUUGGAAAGUUUCGGCGGUUGGGGAUGGACUCGCGGCCUAUCAGCUUGUUGGUGGGGUAGUGGCUUACCAAGGCUUUGACGGGUAGCCGGCCUGAGAGGGUGACCGGCCACAUUGGGACUGAGAUGCGGCCCAGACUACUACGGGAGGCAGCAGUGGGGUAUAGUGCACUAGAGGCGGAAGCCUGAUGCAGCAACGCCGCGUGCGGGAUGACAGCCUUCGGGUUGUAUACCGCUUUCGCCUGUGACGAAACGUGAGUGACGGUAAUGGGUAAAGAAGCACCGGCUAACUACGUG
rnacentral:rRNA from 1 species